UGUUUCCGCUGUGCCAUUUGUGGAAAGAGUUUAGAAUCUACAAAUGUUACGGACAAAGAUGGG
rnacentral:pre_miRNA from 1 species